rnacentral:rRNA from 1 species
GAUGAACGCUAGCGGCAGGCGUAAUACAUGCAAGUCGUGGGGCAGCAGGUUUGUAGCAAUACAGAUGCUGGCGACCGGCAAACGGGUGCGGAACACGUACAGAACCUUCCUUUGAGCGGGGAAUAGCCCAGAGAAAUUUGGAUUAAUACCCCAUAGUAUAAUGAAGUGGCAUCACUUUAUUAUUAAAGAUUUAUCACUCGAAGAUGGCUGUGCGGCUGAUUAGGUAGUUGGCGGGGUAAAGGCCCACCAAGCCUGCGAUCAGUAACUGGUGUGAGAGCACGACCAGUCACACGGGCACUGAGACACGGGUCCGACUCCUACGGGAGCAGCAGUAAGGAAUAUUGGUCAAUGGAGGCAACUCUGAACCAGCCAUGCCGCGUGGAGGAUGAAGGUCCUCUGG